UGGGUUCCUAACAGAGGACUGAGACCACACCUGGCCUUUCCCUGUGGUACCUGGGUUCCUAACAGAGGUCUGAGACCACACCUGGCCUUUCCCUGUGGUACCUGGGUUCCUAACAGAGGUCUGAGACCACACCUUUCCCUGUGGUACCUGGGUUCCUAACAGAGGUCUGAGACCACACCUGGCCUUUCCCUGUGGUACCUGGGUUCCUAACAGAGGUCUGAGAACACACCUUUCCCUGUGGUACCUGGGUUCCUAACAGAGGUCUGAGACCACACCUUUCCCUGUGGUACCUGGGUCCCGAACAGAGGUCUGAGAACACACCUUUCCCUGUGGUACCUGGGUUCCUAACAGAGGUCUGAGAACACACCUUUCCCUGUGGUACCUGGGUUCCUAACAGAGGUCUGAGACCACACCUUUCCCUGUGGUACCUGGGUUCCUAACAGAGGUCUGAGACCACACCUUUCCC